rnacentral:rRNA from 1 species
AGCGAACGCUGGCGGCAGGCCUAACACAUGCAAGUCGAACGGACCCUUCGGGGUUAGUGGCGGACGGGUGAGUAACACGUGGGAACGUGCCUUUAGGUUCGGAAUAGCUCCUGGAAACGGGUGGUAAUGCCGAAUGUGCCCUUCGGGGGAAAGAUUUAUCGCCUUUAGAGCGGCCCGCGUCUGAUUAGCUAGUUGGUGAGGUAAUGGCUCACCAAGGCGACGAACAGUAGCUGGUCUGAGAGGAUGACCAGCCACAUUGGGACUGAGACACGGCCCAAACUCCUACGGGAGGCAGCAGUGGGGAAUCUUGCGCAAUGGGCGAAAGCCUGACGCAGCCAUGCCGCGUGGUUGAUGAAGGUCUUAGGAUUGUAAAAUCCUUUCACCGGUGAAGAUAAUGACUGUAGCCGGAGAAGAAGCCCCGGCUAACUUCGUGCCAGCCGCCGCCGUAAUAC